ACAUGCAAGUCGAGCGAACGGACGAGAAGCUUGCUUCUCUGAUGUUAGCGGCGGACGGGUGAGUAACACGUGGAUAACCUACCUAUAAGACUGGGAUAACUUCGGGAAACCGGAGCUAAUACCGGAUAAUAUUUUGAACCGCAUGGUUCAAAAGUGAAAGACGGUCUUGCUGUCACUUAUAGAUGGAUCCGCGCUGCAUUAGCUAGUUGGUAAGGUAACGGCUUACCAAGGCAACGAUGCAUAGCCGACCUGAGAGGGUGAUCGGCCACACUGGAACUGAGACACGGUCCAGACUCCUACGGGAGGCAGCAGUAGGGAAUCUUCCGCAAUGGGCGAAAGCCUGACGGAGCAACGCCGCGUGAGUGAUGAAGGUCUUCGGAUCGUAAAACUCUGUUAUUAGGGAAGAACAUAUGUGUAAGUAACUGUGCACAUCUUGACGGUACCUAAUCAGAAAGCCACGGCUAACUACGUGCCAGC
rnacentral:rRNA from 1 species